AUACGCCCUGUUUAUCAGGUAUGGAGUUGAGUUUGCUAUUGACAAUGGACAUGACAAUGCUACGUUUGUUGUGAACAACGAAAUUACGUAACUCACCAUAAAAGAUGCAGCCACACUCGCUCUAGAGAAGAUAAUGACGAUGAAGGAUACACAUAUCUAAAUUGUCUUGGGGAUCUUGCUGGCAAGCAGUAUCUUUUCCAGAUUUGGGUCAUCACUUUCAGGAUGGAUUUGGAGUCUCGAGACAAUAGGAGUCCUUGAUGCUCAAAGGGAUUCUAUGGACAUAAAUGUACUCUUUCUAUGGGAUUUCACUUUCUGAGUUUCAUAUAUAUUUUAUGUAAUUUCAGAUUUUAAAUAUGUGCUAGAUACACAAAUCAGUUUCAUUACAUGUUAUUAAACAUGUGAAAUAAUUAAAACUGUUUUUAAUAA